CAACAGGGGAGGUAAUACUGAGGCCCGGCCAGGGGGCCCUGUGUUCUGUCAAUGGUCAGGAAUGUACACAACCAACAAAACUCUCUCAGGGAGAUUAUGUGAUACUUGGGGGAAAUCAGGUCUUCCGUUUCAACAAUCCUGCUGAGGCUGCCAAACUCAGGGAAAACAGACAAAGUCAAGGCAGCCUCAAUACGCUUGGUGU